rnacentral:misc_RNA from 1 species
GAAAUGCGAUAAGUAAUGUGAAUUGCAGAAUUCAGUGAAUCAUCGAAUCUUUGAACGCACCUUGCGCUCCUUGGUAUUCCGAGGAGCAUGCCUGUUUGAGUGUCAUUAAAUUCUCAACCCCUCCAGCCUUUUGUGGGUUGGUUUUGGUGGAUUGGAUGUUGGGGGUAUUCAUCUGCAGGCCUCUUUCUCAAGGUCAGCUCCCCUGAAAUGCAUUAGUGGAACCGUUUGCGGACCCGUUGUUGGUGUGAUAAUUAUCUACGCCAAAUUGCAUGAUGGAUCGCUCUCUUGGUGUUCUGCUUCUUAAUUGUCCAUUAAUGUGGACGAAUGAAACUCUGAAUUGUUUGACCUCAAAUCAGGUAGGACUACCCGCUGAACUUAA